rnacentral:rRNA from 1 species
GAUGAACGCUGGCGGCGUGCCUAAUACAUGCCAGUCGAGCGAACAGACGAGGAGCUUGCUCCUCAGACGUUAGCGGCGGACGGGUGAGUAACACGUGGAUAACCUACCUAUAAGACUGGGAUAACUUCGGGAAACCGGAGCUAAUACCGGAUAAUAUAUUGAACCGCAUGGUUCAAUAGUGAAAGACGGUUUUGCUGUCACUUAUAGAUGGAUCCGCGCCGCAUUAGCUAGUUGGUAAGGUAACGGCUUACCAAGGCAACGAUGCGUAGCCGACCUGAGAGGGUGAUCGGCCACACUGGAACUGAGACACGGUCCAGACUCCUACGGGAGGCAGCAGUAGGGAAUCUUCCGCAAUGGGCGAAAGCCUGACGGAGCAACGCCGCGUGAGUGAUGAAGGUCUUCGGAUCGUAAAACUCUGUUAUUAGGGAAGAACAAAUGUGUAAGUAACUAUGCACGUCUUGACGGUACCUAAUCAGAAAGCCACGGCUAACUACGUG